UGGGGUGACAAGCCAUCCUGGUUUGCCUGGGACUGAGGAGGUCCUGGGACAUGGGACAUUUGAUGCUAA
rnacentral:miRNA from 1 species